rnacentral:rRNA from 11 species
UGUGUAGGUCAGUUUUUACAAACCUGAAAUGCACCAGAUUCCAUUUGAUCUUGGACGCUAAGCAGUGUCAACCCUUCUUAGUACUUGGAUAGGAGGCCACCAAUUAAUACAAGGUAGGCUAUACUU